rnacentral:rRNA from 1 species
GAUCCUGGCUCAGGAUGAACGCUAGCGGCAGGCUUAACACAUGCAAGUCGAGGGGCAGCGGGGUGUAGCAAUACACUGCCGGCGACCGGCGCACGGGUGCGUAACGCGUAUGCAACCUACCCAUAACAGGGGCAUAACACUGAGAAAUUGGUACUAAUUCCCCAUAACAUUCGAAGAGGCAUCUCUUUGGGUUGAAAACUCCGGUGGUUAUGGAUGGGCAUGCGUUGUAUUAGCUAGUUAG